GAGUUUGAUCCUGGCUCAGGACGAACGCUGGCGGCGUGCCUAAUACAUGCAAGUCGAACGAACCCUGGUAUUGAUUGGUGCUUGCAUCAUGAUUUACAUUUGAGUGAGUGGCGAACUGGUGAGUAACACGUGGGAAACCUGCCCAGAAGCGGGGGAUAACACCUGGAAACAGAUGCUAAUACCGCAUAACCACUUGGACCACAUGGUCCGAGUUUGAAAGAUGGCUUCGGCUAUCACUUUUGGAUGGUCCCGCGGCGUAUUAGCUAGAUGGUGAGGUAACGGCUCACCAUGGCAAUGAUACGUAGCCGACCUGAGAGGGUAAUCGGCCACAUUGGGACUGAGACACGGCCCAAACUCCUACGGGAGGCAGCAGUAGGGAAUCUUCCACAAUGGACGAAAGUCUGAUGGAGCAACGCCGCGUGAGUGAAGAAGGGUUUCGGCUCGUAAAACUCUGUUGUUAAAGAAGAACAUAUCUGAGAGUAACUGUUCAGGUAUUGACGGUAUUUAACCAGAAAGCCACGGCUAACUACGUGCCAGCAGCCGCGGUAAUACGCAGGUGGCAAGCGUUGUCCGGAUUUAUUGGGCGUAAAGCGAGCGCCAGGCGGUUUUUUUAAGUCUGAUGUGAAAGCCUUCGGCUCAACCGAAGAAGUGCAUCGGAAACUGGGAAACUUGAGUGCAGAAGAGGACAGUGGAACUCCAUGUGUAGCGGUGAAAUGCGUAGAUAUAUGGAAGAACACCAGUGGCGAAGGCGGCUGUCUGGUCUGUAACUGACGCUGAGGCUCGAAAGUAUGGGUAGCAAACAGGAUUAGAUACCCUGGUAGUCCAUACCGUAAACGAUGAAUGCUAAGUGUUGGAGGGUUUCCGCCCUUCAGUGCUGCAGCUAACGCAUUAAGCAUUCCGCCUGGGGGAGUACGGCCGCAAGGCUGAAACUCAAAGGAAUUGACGGGGGGCCCGCACAAGCGGUGGAGCAUGUGGUUUAAUUCGAAGCUACGCGAAGAACCUUACCAGGUCUUGACAUACUAUGCAAAUCUAAGAGAUUAGACGUUCCCUUCGGGGACAUGGAUACAGGUGGUGCAUGGUUGUCGUCAGCUCGUGUCGUGAGAUGUUGGGUUAAGUCCCGCAACGAGCGCAACCCUUAUUAUCAGUUGCCAGCAUUAAGUUGGGCACUCUGGUGAGACUGCCGGUGACAAACCGGAGGAAGGUGGGGAUGACGUCAAAUCAUCAUGCCCCUUAUGACCUGGGCUACACACGUGCUACAAUGGAUGGUACAGCGAGUUGCGAACUCGCGAGAGUAAGCUAAUCUCUUAAAGCCAUUCUCAGUUCGGAUUGUAGGCUGCAACUCGCCUACAUGAAGUCGGAAUCGCUAGUAAUCGCAGAUCAGCAACGCUGCGGUGAAUACGUUCCCGGGCCUUGUACACACCGCCCGUCAAGUCACGAAAGUUGGUAACACCCGAAGCCGAUGGCCUAACCACCUUGUGUGGGGGGAGUCGUCGAAGGUGGGACUGGCGAUUGGGACUAAGUCGUAACAAGGUAACC
rnacentral:rRNA from 1 species